rnacentral:rRNA from 1 species
GUGGGGAAUAUUGGACAAUGGGCGAAAGCCUGAUCCAGCCAUGCCGCGUGUGUGAAGAAGGUCUUCGGAUUGUGAAGCACUUUAAGUUGGGAGGAAGGGCAGUACGUUAAUACCUUGCUGUUUUGACGUUACCGACAGAAUAAGCACCGGCUAACUUCGUGCCAGCAGCCGCGGUAAUACGAAGGGUGCAAGCGUUAAUCGGAAUUACUGGGCGUAAAGCGCGCGUAGGUGGUUCGUUAAGUUGGAUGUGAAAGCCCCGGGCUCAACCUGGGAACUGCAGCCAAAACUGGCGAGCUAGAGUACGGUAGAGGGUGGUGGAAUUUCCUGUGUAGCGGUGAAAUGCGUAGAUAUAGGAAGGAACACCAGUGGCGAAGGCGACCACCUGGACUGAUACUGACACUGAGGUGCGAAAGCGUGGGGAGCAAACAGGAUUAGAAACCCUAGUAGUCC